rnacentral:rRNA from 1 species
UACAGAGGCCUCGAGCGUUAGGCGGAAUCACUGGGCUUAAAGCGUGUGUAGGCGGACCCUAAGUGCCUUGUGAAAUCCCACGGCUCACCCGUGGAACGGCUGGGCAUACUGGGGGGUCUUGGAGCCACCUAGGGGCUACCGGAACAAAUGGUGGAGCGGUGAAAUGCGUAGAUAUCAAUUUGGAACGCCAAUGGUGAAACAGGUAGCUGGGAGUGAUGCUGACGCUGAGAACACGGAAAGCCAGGGGAGCGAACGGGAUUAGAUACCCCUA